UACGUAGGGGGCAAGCGUUGUCCGGAAUCAUUGGGCGUAAAGCGCGUGUAGGCGGCUUGAUAAGUCUGCUCUGAAAGCCCGGGGCUCAACCCCGGGAGGCGGGUGGAUACUGUCAAGCUCGAGUCCGGAAGAGGAGUGUGGAAUUCCGGGUGUAGCGGUGGAAUGCGUAGAGAUCCGGAAGAACACCGGUGGCGAAGGCGGCCUGCUGGGCAGUUGCUGACACUGAGGCGCGACAGCGUGGGGAGCAAACAGG
rnacentral:rRNA from 1 species